ACCAAGUCAAGGAAUACCAGAGUGCAUAUUGUGGAGAAUCCUAUGUCAGAUAUAGACAGGCCAAAUGUAAUAUGUGGACGUGGAAUAUGAGUAGGUCUUCCUCUGUUAAAGACUGUUCCAAUUCCACCAGGACCAUGCCUGUUGCAGGUACAAGAGCUGGGCAAAAGUCUGCUACUCCUGAUGAAGAUACACUGAGCUAGAGAGUGAAGGAUGAAAUAAUGGAAAUGGGUAUUUCCUUUGGAAUGUGUUCAGUUCUGAAUCUUCAGCUCUACUCCUUGCUGCAACCACUGUCAACAAGAAGGAAUCAGCAGGGAUGGUAACUCCUCCAAGAGAUCCAACUGGUUGAUUUUGCUAACUGCAGUCCUGAUCAAGUUUGUAUUGACAAGUGAUCUACUAAUGGGCAGAACUUGUACAGCAAUUGUCUGAGCAUUGCUUCAGCCAACUUCACUGUGAGCUAACUGAGGGGUGUGUACCACAGAACAGCAGGAAACUCUAUAUUUAAAAAUUGGUUGCUGGAAGAAGAACAGAGAAAGUAAGCUUUCUGGAGUUCUCUGUAUGCUACAACCUUGUAAUGCAGCGUGCUCAUUCCUCUGUGCUUAUUCUGAGUGAUUUAUUUGCUUGUGUGUGUAUAUGACAGAGAGGGAGAGUCAGAAAGAGAGAGGGGUUUGUUUCAUUGAUGAUGCUACUUGCUGCUUUAACACUCAGUUUUAUUUCUGGUCAGACACUGACAGAGAAAACAAUUUUAUUUCUGGUCAAAUACUGUCAUAAAUAUCACAGCAGCAGCUGGAAUGGUGGAGUAUGUAAUUGAGGAUGUUUCUGAUAUGAACUGCAGGGGCAGGCAGCAUCAUCUUUGGACCUAUGCAUGUACCAAGCCUAAGGAGAUGCAUUGUGCCAACAGUGGUGGAGACCAAGUUCCUUUCCUUUGGGUGAAGUCCAUCUAGCAUGGCAAGAACUGUGGCCAUACUUCCAGGAUUCCCAGAAAACAAAACAAACCAAAACAAACAAACAAAACAACAACAACAACACACAGAACUAUAUUGCGGGUCUGAUUUCUGACAUCUAGGAAUCUGCACUCCCUUCAUUCGCUUCAUGAUCCGCUGUUGGAUCAAACCUGCAACUUAGGAGAGGAAUGAAAUAUAACUGUGAGUACCUGCUGGGUUGUAUUAACCCUUAUUUUGGUUGCUAGCUGGCAAGUUGCCUUUUAUAAACUUUAUUUAUUUAUUUUUUAAAUUACUCAGUUGUGUUCAUUCUUACACACAGCUUAUUUUUUCUUUAGCCUCGGUUCUAACAUCUAGGAGUUGCUAGGCUCACUUGCAAGAAACUAAAUGUUCAUUACCAGUAUGAAAUAUCUGUUUUAAAAGUGUUCAGGAAAAUUUUUAAAUGCCAACAUUAGUUUCAUUGCAUUAUCACUCAUAUUACUGUAUUAGGUAACUCAACUUUUUGUCUCUCUGAGGGAAAAAAUGAGGCAUAGGCAAAUGAAACUACAUGUGCCUGAAAUAUUCUCUGAAAUCCCUAACAAAGACUGCUUGUUCUCUGGAACUCCUGUUCACUUGUCUCCAUUCUUCUAGGGAGACAUUCUGAAAUCCUACUGUCUCUUAACAAUAUCCUGAGCAAACAUGGGCUCCCCCAAGCAUUUCUAUCUCUUAUCUUUACCCUGACCUCUACUGAAAUAUUCUAACCUGCUAAAACUGUCACUGUCAUAUUCCAGGCUCCCACCCACCUCCAGAACCUCCUGGACACUUUCCAGCUACUUGUACAAAAAUUCAACAUUGCUGAACAUGAGACUGACUUGUUCCGGAUAGAGCACUGCCAUGUUUGAAACAGCAAAACACUAGAGCUUGGAUUCAGUAACAAGUCAUAGGCUGCAGGAAAUGCUAUGAUUUUUUUUUCAUGUGCUUCCAUUGACUGGAGAUUGCAAGACAAGAAAGUCAGAACUUAGAAACACUAUUGCCAUACCUCAAAUCUAAAAAAAGAAAAAAAAAAUAAAUAAGAAGGGUUUUAAUGUUCA
rnacentral:lncRNA from 1 species